rnacentral:rRNA from 1 species
UACAGAGGAGCCAAGCGUUGUCCGGAUUGACUGGGCGUAAAGCGCACGCAGGCGGACGCGCGCGUGGGGUGUGAAAUCUGGCCGCUUAACGGCCAGGCGCCAUCCCAUACGGCGCGACUGGAGUGAUGCAGAGGUCGAUGGAAUUGCCGGUGUAGUGGUGAAAUGCGUAGAUAUCAAGAGGAACACCUGCGGCGAAGGCGGGUUGCUGGGCCGACACUGACGCUGAGGCGCGAAAGCAUGGGGAGCGAACAGG